GUGUUCGUAGCUCAGCUGGAUAGAGCAACGGCCUUCUAAGCCGUGGGUCGAGGGUUCGAAUCCCCCCGGGCACA
rnacentral:tRNA from 11 species